rfam:Oryza nivara chromosome 4, whole genome shotgun sequence.
AAAAAGGCAAACCGUAAGUUUCCGUGUCCAACAUUGAUUGUCCGUCUUAUAUGAAAUUUUUUAUAAUUCGUAUUUUCAUUGUUGUUAGAUGAUAAAAUAUGAUUAAUAUUUUAUGCGUGACUUGUCUUUUUAAUUUUUUUCAUAUUUUUUUCAAAUAAGACGGACGGUCAAGCAAUGGACACGGAAACUAGGGUUUGUCUUUUU